CUCGAAGACUCCACCGUGGUGAGGGACUUGAAGGCUGCUGCAAAGAAUAACUUGAGGACAAGAUAUGAUGCGCAGAAGGACACAUUGUAUGCAGCAUCAGCGCUGGAUCCUCGCUUUAAGGCCCUACCAUCCCUGUCCGCUAAAGAGCGAGAUGACACCUUCUCCAGACUGCAGUCUGAGGCUGCCACUGCUGCAUGUGAUCAAAAUACUGAUGGUAAUGAUGCUGAGGAAGGAGCUGAGGAGAUGGGGAAGCGACUUCGCCCAAGAAGCCCAAGAAAUCCAGCACCUUGGAGUCUCUCCUUGGGGCAGUCUACUUACCAACAGUAAAGGAAAAUGAACAGAAAACUCCAGCAAAGAGGGCUCAAGAUGAAAUCAGAAGAUACAGGGCGGAAAAACCUGCUGGGCUGAAUGAAAAUCCUCUGACCUGGUGGAAGUCAAAUGAAAGGGAGUAUCCACUGUUGGCUCGCCUGGCCAAGCAAUACCUUUGUGUCCCAGGGACCAGUAUUGCAUCAGAGAGGGUGUUUUCAACUGCGGGUGAUAUUGUCACUGCAAAAAGGAGCUGCCUAACCCCAGAUCAUGUCAAUGAGCUCCUUUUCCUAAACAAGAAUCUCACAAUUACCAAGUGAGAACAAAGUCACAAUAACAGGACUUGACUUUAGACAGUUUAAGUGUACUUUUAGUUUUGUAACCAUUGUUAUUAUUUUUGCACUUUAAGAAACAAUGCCUUAAUGCAAUUUGCAGUGAUGGAAUGUUGUGGUUCAAGUACACUUUCACUUGCAAUUCCUUUCUAAUGUCAAAAUUGCACUUUUGAGACUUGAGACAGCUUUGUUUACAGUUCAAGUUUGAACUGUGCAAUUUACAUGUUUGCACUUAAAACCUAUUGUUUAUAGUGAAGAGAAAAUAUAAGUGCAUUUGUAUUUUGUAACACAGUUGAGCCAUUUUCAUUAUAUAAGAGC